rnacentral:lncRNA from 1 species
UAUGAUACAAAAUAUUUUCUCAAAACGACUUAUAAUAAAAAACGGAGGUAGUACACAUGAUCAGGAAAAGUACUCUGAGCUCCCUUCUCUAGCGAAUCACCUUGUUGUAGCCUUUAACUACUCUGCCGCGCUGGAGCUCAUCGUCGUCGGCGGCGGAUCUCCUAACAUGAAAAACCAUACAUCAAAACCUUCAUUUCACUUAGCUAUCAACGAAUCCCUUAACAGUUUCCUCCAAUCCGUGCCCUAAAUUAUAAAGUCAAGCAAAUCUUCCAAGAACCCUAAUCUACAAAUCUCAAAAUUAAAUCCUCCAAUGGAGGAAUCAAAGUCCCUUGGGUUAGGGUUUAAUUCCUCUAUUCAAGACCUACAUAAUGGUACACAGUUCAAAGGAAAACAGAGAGUAACAGGAACCUACCGAUGAAGGCCGACGUGAGACGAUUUCAAAGUACCACGAAAAAGAUGAAGAUGAUUUUGGUAAGUUCCUUACUAUGAACUUCUUCCUUCCUUUCUUCUUUUUCACAUGACUUCUUCUGUUGAAUCCUCUCUUCUCAAUCCGUGUGUGAUGAUGUGUGUAUAAUUGAGAGAGAAUGAUGAGGGUCUGAGAAAGAACGGUGAGGGAUCGAGGGAGAUGCUUAGGUGAUGAUCGUUGAUGAUUGGUGAUAACUGCUUUGUGAUUGUGUGAGUGGUGAGAGGAGCACAAGAGUGAGAGUGAUUUUAGAGAGUGUUCAAUAAUUGGAGAGUGAAUUCGGAGGAAAGUGAAAGAUGAAGAUUGAAUCAGAGAGCCCGAAAUGUGAGAGUUAUGCUUGAUUUAUAUAGUGAUUAAGAUGGUGGUUAGGGAUUGAAAGAGUUAUCUUCUAUUAGAUUAAUCAAGAGUAAUUUAGUUAUGAAACUCAUAUACUUUAGCACAGUGUUUAAAAGUUAGUCAGAACUAGUUGGUUAUGAUUUAGGGUGAUUUGAGUAAUUAUAGGAAUAGUUAGUUAAAAUGAAGUUAGUUAAUUCUAAGUUGGAAUUAAAUUUAUAACUUAGUUAUUAAAUCUGAAUUUGUUUUUAUUGUGAGAAUCCUGUUAGUUUUUGAAUCGAGUUUAAAUGAAUGCAUUCCUAUUAAAUUGAUUUUCUAUUGGACUGUUACUCAUUGUUAGUGUUACUUGCUGCUAUCAGUUAUCUCUUAAAGGUGUUAGUUAUUUAGAAUAGAUUGAUCAUUGAAUUGUUGUUGUUAAUCGUUAGAAGGUGUUUGCAUUGUUAUGCUAUUGAAUUUAGUUAAUUCAAUUUCAGUUUGAUUUGAAUGUUAGUUAUGGUUGCAAAUGGUUAGUUCGAAAUAUGAAGUUAGAUUGAAUCAAAAUGUUAGUCAUUCUUGGCUAAAUGCAAUUAGGUAUGUUAAUGUUGAAUGUGAGUUGUAAUAUGGAUGUAUGUAUGUUUUGCAAGGCUGUUAUCCUUAAUUGUUGGAUAUGGACAUGGAAUGCUUGAUGGAGCUUUAUAUAUGGACAUGGCUUGGAAUUGAUUUGGAUGUUAGAACAUGCUAAUCAUAUGGAAUUGCUUGGAACACCAUGGUUAUGGGAUGGAAAGUGAACUUUGGUCAUGUUGUAGUUUGUAUUAGUUAUUUGGAAUGUUGUAAUGAUCUAUGUAAUUGGAAAUGUAUGGUUGUAAUUAUGUAAUUUGAAAAUGAAUCUAUGUAAUUCAUGGUUUUUAGACAUUGAAUAAAAAAAGGGAAUUUUGGAAA